rnacentral:rRNA from 1 species
AUUGAACGCUGGCGGCAUGCUUUACACAUGCAAGUCGAACGGUAACAGGUUGAGCUGACGAGUGGCGAACGGGUGAGUAAUGCAUCGGAACGUGCCCGGUCGGGGGGGAUAACGCAGCGAAAGCUGCGCUAAUACCGCAUAAGAUCUGAGGAUGAAAGCGGGGGACCGUAAGGCCUCGCGCGAUCGGAGCGGCCGAUGUCAGAUUAGGUAGUUGGUGGGGUAAAGGCUCACCAAGCCAACGAUCUGUAGCUGGUCUGAGAGGACGACCAGCCACACUGGGACUGAGACACGGCCCAGACUCCUACGGGAGGCAGCAGUGGGGAAUUUUGGACAAUGGGCGAAAGCCUGAUCCAGCAAUGCCGCGUGCAGGAAGAAGGCCUUCGGGUUGUAAACUGCUUUUGUACGGAGCGAAAAGGUCUCCUCUAAUACAGGGGGCUCAUGACGGUACCGUAAGAAUAAGCACCGGCUAACUACGUGCCAGCAGCCGCAGUAA